rnacentral:misc_RNA from 1 species
UCUAGUCUAGUAUGGCCACUCAUAAUGCAUAAUGCAGAAUAAAUAGAAAAAAAAAAAAUCAAAUUCCUCAUCUUCAUCAAUCCAACUAUCUCUUAAUAUUAUCUCAUGAAAUCUAUUAUACUCUGCAUGUUGCUAAGAAUAUCAACUGCAUUGUUUAGGAAUUGGGUUUGCAAGCGGUCUUCUUGUCACUUUGUUCUGUGAGGGCAGUCUCUGAAUGAACUGAAUGAGAAAAAUUAAUCCUCCACAUAAAGGUCCUUUUGUUUUAUCUCUGGUCAAUUUAACUGUUAUGAACAGUUGGUUAAUGAAUCAUUUUAUAACACAAAAAUGUCAGGUAUCAUGAUUUAUGAAUCAUGUCUUGGAGAUCUCUUAAUAUUUACUAUAGUUUUCCGUGAUAUUAAAUUCUUCUUCAAAGUGAAAAUAUGAAAUUUAUGUACAUUUUUUGCCAUAAGUGAAGGUACAGGUGUGCCAUAUGGUAGACUUACGUUUUUUAUGAUUGUAGUUUUUUAUUAAUCUUCAUUUUAGCUAAUUGAAAAAAACCGUGUAAUUCUUUAAAUGUUUUGUCAGG